GAGUUUGAUCAUGGCUCAGAUUGAACGCUGGCGGCAUGCCUUACACAUGCAAGUCGAACGGCAGCAUGAUCUAGCUUGCUAGAUUGAUGGCGAGUGGCGAACGGGUGAGUAAUACAUCGGAACGUGCCCUGUAGUGGGGGAUAACUAGUCGAAAGAUUAGCUAAUACCGCAUACGACCUGAGGGUGAAAGUGGGGGACCGCAAGGCCUCAUGCUAUAGGAGCGGCCGAUGUCUGAUUAGCUAGUUGGUGGGGUAAAGGCCCACCAAGGCGACGAUCAGUAGCUGGUCUGAGAGGACGAUCAGCCACACUGGGACUGAGACACGGGCCCAGACUCCUACGGGAGGCAGCAGUGGGGAAUUUUGGCAAUGGGCGAAAGCCUGAUCCAGCAAUGCCGCGUGUGUGAGGAA
rnacentral:rRNA from 1 species